UUAUGGUUUAGGUUGCCAAUGAUCUAUUAGGGAAGCAGAUCAAUGCACUUAAACAACAUAUCAAUAACCUUCUUUGCCCAUUAACACCCUUUACCAACCUUAUAGAGAAGGCAUAGUUUCGUCUAUGGCUACCCAUUCAGUCUCUAUGAAGGUCUACUGACUGUUGUUUCUCACUGUCUUUGGCUCAACAUCCCUGGCUAUGAUGCUCCUACUCAGCUUGCGAAGCCUCUUGAGAAGGACACUAGGCAAGCGGAUACUAUUCUCAUCACUCCUAAAGGAACUUAUGAAGCCUCUUGAGAAGAACACUAAGUAUAUUUUUUAGACUUAAUUUUGAUAAACACUUAAUUAAGUGUUUAUAUCAUAAGUGCGUUAAGAAAAAAGAUUUUAUAUAUUCUCUAGAUAUGACUUCGCUAUGAUAUGUAAUAGUGAUAUAUUCAUUCUUUUGCUAUAUUAAUUAUAAUAUAUAAUUUAUCUAUUAA